GGGCCAGGUGGGGACCAGGAGCAGCAGGGGAGAUGCCAAGAGUCAACAGAUGGGGAAAAAAAAAAACCAAGAAACACUAAAUGAGAAACCCAAUUGUUUGAGUGGGAGAAUUUACCUUCUAGAUGAUUUUUACAAUAUUUCCUCAUCUCAAAACAAGAAAACAAACAAGACUGUCCUUAGAUGAAAAGUCCUUGUUUUCACUUCUAAGAUGUCAGAGAAUGAAAAGAGAGAAAAGUAAUUUCGGUGCCCAGAAGUAGAAAUGCCUGUGUGAUCGUUUCCAAACAAUACCAGUUGCUUUUGAGGUCAACAGGAGAAUGUGAAGGCUGAUUCUGCUGUUUCUAACUCACAGGUCUGACAAGAAACAAGACUUCAGAGACAAAUUACAGAACAGCAGAAGAAAUAAGAUGGCUGUGAAUCCCAGAGAAAGGAUCAGAGGUGAAUGGCAUGAAGAGAUGCGGUUGGGAGAGAAACAAAAGUGAACAAAACAAAGGGAAAUGUCUUAAUCAGAACAUACCUAGAAAUGUAAUUAUUAAAUACAGAAAGGUGUCACAGGGUCUAGGGAACAAUCUUAAUGAAUAUUCACAGAGUGCAAACCAAGCUAUUGUCAGAUAUAAAAACACAAGUCUGAUUCUCUAAUCUCUUCCAGGUUAUAAUAGUUAAUAUACUUAUGAAAAUGAAUCAAUCCUUCUUAUAUAUUUGAUAUAAAACUCCUUAAAUGUAAGAAGAAAUACAGUAGUCCUCCACUUACCCAUGGUUUUGAUUUCUACGGUUUCAGUUACCUUCAGUCUGGAAGUAAAUGAACCUCCUUCUGACUAUCCUCAGAAGGUCAAUAGUAGCCUAACGCAUUGUCACAAUGCCUACAUCACUCACCUCACUUCCUCUCAUUGAGUAGGUAUUUUAUUGCCUCACAUCAUCACAGGAAGAGGAAGGGUGAGUGCAGGACAAUAAAAAGUCUUGAAAAGGAGAGAAAGACCACAUUCAUAUAGCUUUUGUUACAGUAUAUUUUAUAAUUGUUGCAUUUUAUUAUUAGUUAUUGUUAAUCUCUUACUAUGUCUAAUUUACAAAUUAAACUUUAUCAUAGGUAUAUAUGUAUAAUAAAAUACAUAGUAUAUAUAGGGUUUGAUACUAUCUAUGGUUUCAGGUAUCUGAAGUCUGGGAAUGUAUCCCCCACAGCUAAGGGGUGACAGCCAUAGAACUCUGUAUAAACAACAAAAUUAGCAAACCCCGAGACUUUUGUCACCUUUAUUUAGCAUAUUAAAUAUAUAUUUACCAAAUCAAAAGUACCUUUACCGUCUUGUUUUACCCAGUAUUCAUUCAGAGGAAAAAUUUGUUAAAUAUUCUCCAACCCAAUAAUUUCAAUAGUUUCCAAUGUGCCUUAAGCAAUAAUAAUUAACUUGGGAUUUGUAUUUUAAUGGAAAACCAGAUUUGAAGGGAACUUUUUCUGGAACUUUUUUUCCAGAUCUAUGGCUUUGAGAUUUCCUUGACAUUUUACAUAUUUACCUGGUAUGUACAUAAAUAAAUUUACACAUAUUUUAUGUAUGUAUUCACAUUAUACGCAUAUAUACAAUACUACAUAUAUUAUGUGUGCAUACAUAUAAAACAAAAGUUUUAAGAAACAGUAUUCUUUGUAUACACAAUAUUCUCUAGUAUUUUUACUACAUUUUCUAUUCUAUUUCCUCUUUUAAAAUAUGCUGAUCACAACCUGCUAAAUUGAUUUCACAAGCCAUUAAUGAAUUGCAAUCUAUAGUUCGAGAAACACUGCUCUCAGCCAAUUAAACAUUGUACUUUACUUCAGGUUUCUUCAAUUAAUCUGAUACACUUACAGACAGACUGUUUCAUUUAUGAAGUGAUUGCCAAGACCAAUAUAUGACUUAUAUUGGUCUACCAACCCAUAAAUGUUCUUACUAGUAACCCAUGCAGGCUUUCUCUAUAAAUUAUAUGGUUGGUGUCAUUGUAAAUCUUACAGGCAUUUCCUUUAUCUGCAGAAAGUAUCUAUUUUUGAAUGGAGAAAAGAAUCCCCACUGAAAAGCAAACUAAAUCACACAGUAAAUCUAAUAGAAAGUGAUUAAUGGGAUUGGUUGUCAGCAUAGUCCAGCUUCCUUCCCUCAAGAAGUGUGAACAGGACCUCAAAUCCAUCUUCAUUAAUACGUUACCACUUAGUGUGGUGUUCUAGAGAUACAUUUGAUAGUUAAUAAUUAAUCAGAAGUCUUUACUAAUAGUGGCAGAAGGGAGAAUGAAUGGGUAGACUUGCCCUGCGUAGAGAGAGAUUUCCAACAAUGACACCAGAGCAUAAUACCUUAAAGAUAUAAGACAAUGGCCUUUAUGAAAUCUGAAUAGCAUGAUAGAUUUGUAACAGCACAAUCUUCUUUGGAAAAACAAGUUUUACUCUCACUAUAUCAAUAAUGCUCACUAUUCCACAGCACUUCCCCUCUGGCUCAUAUAACCCUAAACCUUCCCUGUCAUAACACCCUGUGUUUAUUCUUGAGAAUGCUCCUUGUGACUGUAACUAGUUAUUUGAUCAUUAUUCAUUUUAUGUCUGCUAUCCCAUUUAGCCCGGCUAAUUCACUAUGGAAUCCACAGUGGCUAGCCCAGUGCUACUACAUCAAUAGUACUCAAUAAAUACUUACUGAGUGAAGGAGGGACUGGAAGGAUGAAAGCAAAUGUUAGCAGGUUAAUUUCCAGGUUUUUUUCUGCCUUCAAAUAGAGGUAGAGACUCACACCGCCACUCGCAUAUUUACUGUAUAUUUACUGGAAAGCAUGUUCUUUUUCCUCCUAUUCACCCAAGCCAAGAACUUUUCCAUCAUGUUCAAUUUUCCCCCAUUGUAUUUCAUUCAGUUAAUGUUUAUUGAGCUCCCGCUGCAGACCAGCAACUACAGUUUCUCUCUAAUCCAUCCAUUCCACUCAGUUCCUUGUGCCACUGCCUCACCAUUUCUUCCUUAGAUCAUGACAAUAGCCUCUUAUAUUUUCCCUGCAUCCUACUUCCGGAAGUGCCCUCCAUCCACUCUACAUAUGGCUGCCCAAGUAAUCUUCCUGAAACAGGAGAUAUAAUCCUGCCCCAAAUCCUCAGAGCCCAACUCCUAAAUGUGACAUACAAGGCUCUCUUUUUCUCCUAGGUUGACCUCCCUGACAUAAAUUCUAUAUUCCAUAUAACAAAUAACAAAACUCUUACACUUGCUGAAUGUCCUGUGCUGUCUCAUCACUCCAUGACUUUAAACAUUCUCUUCCUUCUUCUGGGAAUAUCCUUCCCACUUUCUUUACCUGAGAUAUUUCCAUUCAUUCUUAAGGCUACACUGCAAAUGAUGCCCUUUCCAUGAAACUUUCCUGGUCCAAUUACCCUUCUUGAAUGAUUACCCUACUAGAUCGUUGUUCAUUUUCUGUGCUCUGGUUUCACUUUGUAUUACAUAUCUAUAACUGUAUAUAUUAAAUUGUACUGUUAUUAUUUAUUUGCAUGCCUAUUUCUGGCUCCCUCUAUGAGACUUCAAAGCUCUUCAAAAUGAACAUUCAUGAGCAAGAAUGAAUAUAAAGUUGAAUAUAAACUUAUCUCUAUCUAUAGUACCUAUCACAGACAUUGACCAUAAUAAAUUGUAUCUGUCAGAAUCCAUAGUUUCUGGAAACAUAAUCUCAUUUAGCUAGUCUAUGCCAAAAGGAAAUUACUACAAGGUAUUAGGCAGCUAAUGAAAUUUCUAGGAGAGGCAGGUAGUGUAGCAUGGAUGACUCAACCAACAAUACUCAGUUGAACUGAAUAGAAUCCUCUACCAUCCUUUUCUAGCUGAAACCUCACUGCCCCAGGCCAAUGACAGGAUCAGUAGUUUCUUUAGCAAAGUUUCCCCAGAAGAACCAAAGAUUUCACCACCAUACUUGCCAGCAGAUGCUAUCUCUUUGAGCAUUUACACCAACCACUCAUUACUCACUUCUUCCUUCCAAGUCUCACCUACAGAAGAGACCCUGCAUAGUCUUAGAAGGUGCCAUCACAUCAUGCAAAGUCUGUAAACCAUGUGCCGAGGCACAGUUAACAUAGGUUAUAUAUGCUGAGGACGCGUAGCUCACUACGUCGAAUCUGAACUGCAAAGGGGUCUGCGAAAUGCAGUUUAACCUUCCUGCCUCAAUAGUUCAGGAAGCCAUGCCAAAAGGGGCAGGAGUGGGAAAGGGGUGAGCCACUUUGCAGUUCUUCUCACAUAUGUGCCUAAGAAAUGGUAAGGAGGAAAUGGAAGGUUGAAAUGUGAAGGUCAUCUUAUCUUCUCCAUAUUCUGCUGUUUAAGUAAUUCAAAUUUAGCUUUUAAUUAACAAAAUACACCAUUAUUCCUUCAAAAAUAUUAUUUAUAUUCUAAUUUUCAGACAGUUAUUUCCUUAGCUCUGUCUUUAGCACAUCACCUCUCUCUAAAUUUUUCUAAGGCUCAUACUACUUAUACACCUUUUCCAGUGUAGCUUGUGAUUUGAAAUAUAUUGCAUUCCCAUUCCUUUUCAUUUGUAUAAGAACAUGAACCCUCUGAUUUUAACACAUAACGACGCUGGCUAACAACAACAACAAAAGAUUCUCUCAAAUGUGAAAUCAUAAUUUUAAGUUAUUUCUAUCAGAACAGAUAAAUUGAACAUAAUUUCAAAUUCUCCUCCUGUACUUGGUACCUUUAUAGCACACUGGAGGCAACAAUUAAGUUAUCUGUUUUCAGUGUAAUAAGUAGAGAAUUCUUUUGUAAAAAUUCAUAAGCCAAAAUAAAUUCAUUUUUUUUUUAUAAUUUUUUUUU